UACGUAGGUGGCAAGCGUUGUCCGGAUUUAUUGGGCGUAAAGCGCGUGUAGGCGGUUUCUUAAGUCUGAUGUGAAAGCCCUGGGCUCAACCCAGGAAGUGCAUUGGAUACUGGGAGACUUGAAUACGGGAGAGGGUAGUGGAAUUCCUAGUGUAGGAGUGAAAUCCGUAGAUAUUAGGAGGAACACCGGUGGCGAAGGCGGCUACCUGGACCGAUAUUGACGCUGAGGAGCGAAAGCCAGGGGAGCAAACGGG
rnacentral:rRNA from 1 species